rnacentral:lncRNA from 1 species
GUAGUAUACAGUGGUACCUUGGUUCUCAAACGCUGAAAACCCGAAAGUAAGUGUUCCCGUUUUUGAACAUUUUUCGGAAGCCAAACGUCCGAUGUGGCUGUUAGCUAUUGUUUCCGGGGCACCUGCACCAAUCAGAAGCUGCACCUAGGUUUUCAAACAUUUCGGAAGUCAAACGGAUUUCCAGAAUGGAUUAAGUUUGGUGCUUUUGUUUUUGCUAUUUAUUUUGCAUUUUUGUUUUUGAGGCUUUUCCAGUUAAUUCGUUUUUGUGACUGUGUGGAGCCCGGUUCAGCUACUGAUUGGUUGAUUGAUUGAUUGAUUAUGUGAAUGCAGAAAUGGCUAAAAGCCCCCCAUCCAAACAAUGACUAUCAUCAGUGCAGGUAAGAAAAUAAUAAUAAUUUUUAUCAUCUACUAUACUGUCUUAUUUAUUUUAUACUACGGUACAUUGAUUAUUGUUUUCAUUUUAUCAAUGGUCUUGUUAGAUAGUAAAAUUCAUGUUAGGUUUUUUUUUAAAAAAAGUUUGGAAUGGAUUAAUCCGUUUUGCAUUACUUUCUAUGGAAAAGCAUGCCUUGGUUUUGGAACACUUUGGUUUUGGAACGGACUUCCGGAAUGGAUAAAGUUUGAGAACCAAGGUACUACUAUAAUACCUGGCAAGGCAAAAUAAAAAUAGACCACUGCAUAAAUUAAUUUGCAGCAUUUAAAAUGCCUGCCCCUUUCUGUAGCAUCAAUGGGCAUCAUCUGCUGAGUAUCCUUAGCUGGAUAUAUAUUUUGCAGCACAAAUGUUAUUUGCAUACACUAAAGUGAAAAACAGCAUAUACAAAAUACGAACUGAAUAUUUUACAGUGUGGUCCUCCACUCUUGGGGAAUAUGUUGCCAACUAAUUAACGGUUUGGGUAUUGUCCAUAUGCCUCCGAUUGCUCAUUCUUUGCCAGUCUUUAUCUGCCUGGCAAUAAGCACAAAUCUUCACGUUGCUGCCCCCCCCCCCCAGAUUCAGAUAGGAGCCACUUGUUAAUUUAGUUUAGGAAUCUGGCAAAUAGGGUUAGACUCAUAUCAAUUCUCAUUAUGGCAGGGCAAUGCAUUGGAAAAGAGCUCAAAAUGAGGAUCCUUCUCAGUUAGAAAGCCCAACCUCAUUUUGAGUUGGUCCAGUACCCAUUGCAUUGGGCAUGGCUUGACAGGAGCUCAGAUCCUGCGCCACCAAUACCCAGACCUUCCUGCCAGACCCUUUCCCCAAGUCCUAUGGUUCCUCGAGGGAAAUAACACUUCACACCGAAGACUAGAAUAUUGGACUUGAAAUGAACUGACCUUGGUUGAAUGCUCUACUUCACCAUGUAAUUCACUGGGUUAGUUUAGGGAGGUCCCUAUCUCCCAACCUCUCAGGAUGAUUACAAGGAUAAAGUUACAUAUAGCUCCAUGUAUGACACCUAGAAGGAAUGGUGGGAUAGCAGUGAGCAACCCACCCAUCGAGAAUCCUUGCCAGUCUAAUCCACAUUCAAUUUAACUUGCUUUGACAUUCCUACUGAAAGUGUGUGUAUGUGUAUAUUAACUUGUCAUAUGCCGUCAGAUCGCGUAGCUCAGCGCUGUCUACGGUGAUUGGCAGAAGGUUCCCAAGGACUCCAGUAAAGGUCCUUCCUAGCCAUGCUACCUGAGCGUUUCAAGCUAGUUUUUGAACUUGACAAGGUCUACAUGCAAAUCAUGUAUUCUUGCUCCGAGCUUUGACCCCUCCCAGUUUUCCCACGGAGCAGGAUCCUUCAAUUUCACCUUAGAACUCAUUUUAGACAAAACUUGCUGGCAACUUCAAUUAAUCUUGGCUUGCUAUACUGGUGGAACGUAACAGAAAAUAUACUAUUGAUAUGGUGUUUUUUUCCUGGCCGGGCAACAACAAUUUCGCAUGCAGAAUAUGUUUUAAACUAGAAGUAUCAUGUUUAUUUGUUCUUGCUAAUGGUUUGCUGGAAUAAUUUUUUACUUCAUCUCUUGAAGAUUUUCAGGCUCAUCCUGUUAACUCUGACACCUCCCUUGCCAUGCCUCAUUGUGAUGAGAAGGAUGGAUGCAGUGCAUCCCCUUAACAAUCCGAUCCUUAAUGAUUUGCGUAAUGAAGAAAGUGAUUAAUUUUGACGGAUGGCCCAGAUCCAUCAUAUGCAUGACUAGGCGGUGCAAUAGCCUAUGGAGUACGUAGUAAUAUAAGUUGGAGCAAGGUCCAGAAUGACCUUGACAAAUUAGCAGCAGUGCGUUUCAUGCAGUACUUCUGCAGACCUGCCUGUAUGUAGAGAAAAGGCGUAGUUAGUGUAGACUGAGCCGGAAUACGGACAAAGAAAACAACAACAAGGUCCUUGUGAAAUGGGAUGUGUAAGGAUAUCAGGGGGUUACUUGAGAGCAAUCAGGCAAAUGCCUCCCUGGUCGGCUGUAAAGCCUCGUUAUUGGUGCCAAAAACCCUUCACCAUGCAGAGUGCCACUAUUCCGUGGCUUGCUCAUUCACUGGCAGAAUCUAUGAGUGGGUGGUCCUUAAACCUUCCCCAGCAGAGUAGUUUCCUGACGCCCAAUCUGCGCCUCCCCUCUCGGCGUGGAACCCUACUGCGCAGGGACGGUGUGGGCAACGGAGGACCUCUCUCCUCCCCGCUUUGCCCAGACAAGGUGUCCUGGCACCGCCUCGCCUCCUCCGAGCCCUGAAGCUCCUCUCCACUGGAGGCGUGGUUACUCUCCUCUGCUGAGGAAGUGCUGCUUCCCACUAUCUUUGGGGGCUCUCUGUAAUCCAUCCGACUUUCCCCCUCUUGCCCCUGAGCCGAUGGCAGUUCCCUGACAGGAUGUGUCAAAAGUGUUAGUAAAAACUAAACAGCACUUCUGUCGUGGGAUCCAGUUGUAUAUGCAUUACAUGGGUGCCCAAAUGAAUUCCAAGAUACCGGAAAAGCUUAAAACAAGAUGAUCCUUGAGUGCACACAUUUGGAAGUUAAAUAGUCUAAAGAGCAAUAAGGAACGCUUCAAAAUCAGCUUUUAAUGUAGCCCUCCCUUGACUUGUCACUCUCCAGUUGUUUAAGAGGACAGCUGCCAUUAGCUCUGGCUAGCAUGAACAUGGUCAAAGUUGAAGAGAGUUGUAAUCCAAAAUAUCCAGAGAGCAACAGGUCCUGGGGAAGGCUGUUUUACAGCAUAAUUCUAUAGGUGUCUACUCAGAAGUAAGUCCAAUGGAGCUUCCUCCUCGGUCAUAGGAUUGCAGCCUUAAUGUAUGUUGCAGACAAAUAUGUAACUGAUCUUGAGGAGGGGGACUUUCAGAAUUAGGUAUAAACAAAUGAAUGCCCCAAAAUGAUCUGUAUAUGUGUAUGCGUGCACAUUCAGUUUGUAUUCUAUAUUAAGCACAGAUGCACACACCUGACUGCUACUGAAAAUACCCGCAACCAAUUUAAGUGCAUUAAACCAAGGGAAGUAAGCAGCACAGUUCUAUAAGGGUCUCUCUGUAUUGGGACUGCUGCUACUUAAUGUCUGAAAAAUAUCUGGGGUCAGAGGUGAACAGUGAGGUAAUCAAGUUUGCAGAUUAUGCCAAAUUAUUCAGGACGGUGAACUCCUAAAUUGUCUGUGAAGGAUUCAAGGUGGAUCUCUCUAGACAGAAUGAAUGGGUAACAAAACGACAAACCAGUCAAUGCAAAUAAGUGCAAAUUUGCACACUUCAUAAAUGUCUUCUGUUUUAAAGCUUUCUGUACAUAAAUUACAGUAUGAAUCUGAACUCAAGGACCAUAAUCAAAGGAAUUUUUAGGCUUGAUGCAUAAAGACACAUGAAAUAGCUUUGAAAUCUUUCUCCAAUAAUUUGGGCAGGGAAACUGAAAUUAACUGUAUUUCAGCCAUCAACCACCCUUUUAUAUUGUGUUAGGCCGUAUGUAAUUACAAAUGAUGAUUUUUGUGAUAUCUACAUUUUUGUGAUAUGUUAAGCCUCCAAUUUAUCUGAAGUUGCACAUUUUACUCCUUUCAUGCUAAAGCAUCUCCUAUAAUCUAGUUUUGAACAGAAUUUUUCACGAGAGUUUUAAACAGGAUUUGAAGAAGACAAAACACAUGCUGCACUGUGAUCACAAUCAUGGAAAUAUCCAGUGUGGCAUACAGGUAAAGUAUUAGAGGAAUACAAACAGAACUAGCUGCAAUUUUAAUCCAUGAGAGGUUAUUCUAAAGGAAAAAUGUAGGCUCCCUUCCUUCAGUGGGGAGCCUUGGCUGGAUCCCAAUUCUCCACAAUCAGAAGGAAUCUUUCUAUUCAUGGAGGGAAAGUCUAGCUUCAACUUAUUUGCUUAUGCUGACCUUUAAAGCCCUAAACGGCCUCGGUCCAGUAUAUCUGAAGGAGCGUCUCCACAUCCAUCGUUCUGCCCGGAUACUGAGGUCCAGCGCCGAGGGCCUUCUGGCAGUUCCCUCACUGCGAGAACCCAAGUUACAGGGAACCAGGCAGAGGGCUUUCUCGGUAGUGGCGCCCACCCUGUGGAACGCCCUCCCACCAGAUGUCAAAGAGAAAAAUAACUACCAAUCUUUUAGAAGACAUCUAAAGGCAGCCCUGUUUAGGGAAGCUUUUAAUGUUUAAUAGGUUAUUGUAUUUUAGUGUUUUGUUGGAAGCAGCCCAGAGUGGCUGGAGGGACCCAGCCAGAUGGGUGGGGUAUAAAGAAUAAAUUAUUAUUAUUAUUAUUAUUAUUAUUAUUAUCUGCAGUCUUACAAUCUGGUAAAACACAGCACACAAGGAAAAGAAAUCAGAAGGAUAAGGGCUAAUGUACUAAAUGUGAAUUGGGUGUUUGUGACCUUCGAAGAAAAAUCAGAAAGGGAAAGCAAUACUGAAUAGAUCCAAUAAUGUCUUAAAUAAAAUGGGGUCUGAUCUGACGAGAAGGGUUAAAAACAUUACUAUGUUGGAGUUACCACGAGCAAGAGACAUUGUCAAGCUGGAGUUAUCACGAGGAGAUAAGGGAAAUUACAGCUAUAAGUAUGAAGAAGAGCCGCGGAAGGGCCAUGGAAGUGACCUGAGGGCCUCGGACAUAAGGUUACCGGGUUAGUCUGAUGGGAAUAAGGACUGACAAAUCCCGGAACCAAGAGGAAGGGAUGUUGGAUAAAGAUUGGACUUGUCUAUAUCUUUCUUUCUAUUUUUUUUUAUUAUCAGAAUGUUUUACAAAGUUGAUGAAUGAUAGGAAAAUGUUGGAAGAAAUUACCUGGCUUUAGUAAAGAUGCAUAAAGAAUUAUGAAAGAAUAUUAUGAUCACAAGAAGCUGGUAAGGUUAAGACUUAAGUCUUAAACUUUAAGGUUUAGUUUAUUAUAGAAAGAUAGGAUUAAGUUAGUCGAGGGUAAUGUAAUGAUAGAAUUUUUUGAAACAUGGAAAGGAAAGGAUUUGCUGGGAUAAUUAAUAACUAGAAUACAAAGGAAGGGAGGAGGAGGAGGUCUAAGAAAGAAGGCAAUGACAGUUAAGGGUCUGAAAAUAAUGAAUUUGUUUUGUUUUUUCUUUACUCUUUUUUCUGUAUUUUUUAUUUUCUUGUAUUUUGUAUUUUUACUUUUUGUAUUUUUACUUUUUGUAUUUUUACUUUUUGUUUUUGUUCUUGUGUAAUUCUUGUAUCCUUUGAAACUUUAAUAAAUAUCAUUAAAAAAAAAAUGAUGGGAAAAGCCAGUCGUGUUGGUGGUGGACCAGCAGAUUAUGCCGCAAGAUACGUAGAACAAAUCCAAGGAAUGAUGUAUGAGAGAUGAGGUUUGAAACAAAACUGAAUCACAGAGAGACAGAGAAGGUGUGUGAAGAGAAAGCAGAGCUGUGGGGCACAGAGACACAGAUCACGAAGACACGGAAAAACAAAUAAAAGAAGCUUAAGCUUAAUCUAGUGAAGAAGAACCAAUAUAAAGCAAAAGGAACAGGUGAUCAAAAUGAGAGGAAAGAAAACUGAAGUGAGCAGCAGAAGGACCAGCGUGUUAUUCAUGGUUGUGCUGGGGAAAUGAAGGCCUCAGACCAUGUAAAAUAACAUUACAUCAAUUCUCAAGACAAUAUGAGAAUGAAUAAGUAUUUUAUUAGAAAUGGAUGGUUAAAAACUAAAAGUGAAAAGGAAAACCUGUCAAGUUUUAGCAGGAGCAGGGAUCUCAAAGAUGAGAGAUGGAGCAACCUGUCAGAAAGAACUCAAAGACGGCACGCUUGCUGUGCAGAAUGAAUUACAGAAUCACCCAGAGACAGUGAGAGACAGGACGGAGAAGAUUUGGGAGGAAAAACAAUUAAUUUGGUUUCUUGCUUUAUUGAUUUUCAAUUUAUGGUUAGAUAUCUAUGAGGAACUAGCCAGCAGGCAUAUGUUAAUAACAAACAUUGUUUCACACAAUUAACUUCUGAUAUUGUUUAUGGGUACCAUUUAAGCAGGCCAAUUGUAUCAGGUGAAAUGUAUUUAUGCUAAAAGAGACUGCCAAGAGGUGAGUUCCUCCAAACUCUGAUUGCUAGAAACGGUGUAUGAAUGAUAGGAAUCAUGUCACAGGUUUAUCUGGGUUUGUGUGUGUGCUGUUCUUAUUCACAACGGUUAAAGGUAACGGCACCAGAAAUAAGCCAAAAUGCAGGAUUUUGCCCAUCAUAAGCAUUUCCCUGAAAAUACCCAGUGUGGCAGCAUGUUUGUAGCACUCUGUGAUGCCCAUUUAGAGUGUUGUCCAUAUACCGAGUCAACUGAUAUCAUCAUGUAGUCUAUUCUGAUUUAGGCUUUGUGAAGUCACUGCACAGCCUAACCUAAACGUGCUGUUGAGCUGGAGUUUUACUGGCUAUGUGAUCCCUCAUUGAAUGGACUGUAUCUCUAGCAAGCUGAUGGCAAUGAUAAAGGCUAUGAUGGAGCUUAGAAGGGGAAAUGGGGAGGUGACAGCAACAAUCUGGAAGGGCUGUGAAUAUCAUCAAUCAGGCAUGAUAAAAUAAAGACUGGAGGGGCUUGAGGGGAAUAUUUCAGUCCUUUCAUGCUGGAAUGCUUCAAUUUUUAACAUUUAGUGUAACUGACUCAGCAAGGCCACACUUAUGUUCAGCAUCUCCUAUAGAAUUUAGUUCAGGCAAGGAGUUAUUUGCACCUCAGUUGUAGGAGCCUACCAAUUACCAGGAAAUGGACGAGACACUUCAGCCAUUCCUUCCCAAAUACUGCAUUAGCAGAGCUCACUUUUUCAGCAUCAAGGAAGCUAUCCUUAUUAGCUGCGAGAAUAUUGUUCUCAGACGCAUCAAAUCAGUUUUCUUCUUUUUUAAAAAAAGGCAGCUUGUAAAUGCAGAGUGAUCAAUACGAAGAGAAGCGCUCCGUCCAAGAAAAAUAUAAACCUCUGAGACGAAACAAGUAUUGUACUAAGUUUACUUUGUGCUUGUAUUACAUUAGCAUAGACUGGGCUGGAGCUGGAGUGUGCAAGAAAGGGGAUUAUUUUAACACCGUUUAUGGAAUCUUUUGGAUUUUGUUUGCCUUAUAAAAAAAUGCGUUUCUUCAAUAUAAAAAUAUUUGGUGACUUUGAAGGGGAGGGAGGAUUGGAAUGUGAUGCUUCAGCCCCUCUUAGAACUCCCUCCAAGCCACACCUGCCGUCCUAGGGGCUGCCCCCCAUCAAGCAUUCAGACCCAGGGAAGCACAAAAAUUGUGGCUCUCCACUCAGGCCUGCGCACCUAUCUGCGUGCUCCCCGGGCAACUCCUCCUGUGCUCUUGGUGGCCAAUAUCUCCUUGCCAAGAGCUCAACGGAGCCUAGGUAUGCCUUUGUUGCCAACCCUGGUCUCCAUCUUCCUUCAGUGUAUUUCUUGGCUGGAAUGGUCCCUUGUACUGCGACGAGGCCUUUUGCUUGUCUAGACACACAUCUCCAUGUUUGUGUGUGUCCCAGUGCUGUCAGGCAAGGAAUGUCCAGAGGGAGGAAUUGACAAUUGUAUAAAGUUAGAAGUUAGGAAAGGCAUGUCCCUCAGUCCUACAUCUCUCUCUGCUAAUCCUAGGUGUGCACCUGAUGAGGCAGUUGCCAGAACAGAGGGACCCUGCCCCCAACCUCAUGUAUCUCCCUCCACCUGAGCUGUGAGCAAGCAGGCAAAGAAUCCCUUUUCAAUUCUCUUUUGGUCCUGGAAGACAGUGGAGGAGGAGGUGUGGAAGUUCUUGAUUCUACACUAGCCUGAUCUAUCCUUCCUGCCCCUCGUCUUCACUCUCCAAUCCUGCAGUGUCUCUUGACUCUGACUAUCAUCUCCUGGCUGUUACAGGCUCCCCCAGGAGACUGCUCCCUUCUUCCAAGUCAGUCUCCAACCAGUGGCGGAGGAAGGGGGCAGAGGGGGCAGUGGCCCUGGGUGUCAGCCGGGGGGGUGACAUUGCCAUGGGUGGCGCCUCCCCCCUGGGACGCUUGCUCGGGCAGAUGCCUUCCCCCCUGGGAUGCUCGCACGGGCGGGUGCCUACCCAAUUGGGAUGAUGCUCGCAUUGGUGGGAACCUCCCCCUUGGGACGCUCGCACGUGCGAUGUGCCACGCCCCCACGAAAUGUGCCAUGCCCCCACGGGCAACGUGCCACGCCCCCGCUGCCCCGGGUACCAAAGCCCCUUCCUCCGCGACUGUCUCCAAUCCCAGUUCUCCUGGUGCACACCGAGCCAGUCACCACUGCUCAGUAUCCAGCCAGUCCCUGACAUCAUAUGUGUAUAGAAAAUUCUGACUACAGUGGUACCUUUGGAUGCGAACGGGAUCCGUUCCAGAACCCCGUUCGCAUCCUGAGUAGAAUGCAACCCGUGACUGCGGAUUGCGACCUGCCGCUUCUGCGCAUGCGUGUGACGUCAUUUUGAGUGUCUGCGCAUGUGCGAGCGGCGAAACCCGGAAGUAACACGCUCCAUUACUUCCAUGUCGCUGCGGAGCGUAAGCUGAAAAUGCUCAACCUGAAGCAUAUUUAACCAGAGGUAUGACUGUAUAGGGACCCGGGUGGCGCUGUGGGUUAAACCACAGAGCCUAGGACGUGAGCUCCUGUUGCUCGGUCCCUGCUCCUGCCAACCUAGCAGUUUGAAAGCAUGUCAAAGUGCAAGUAGAUAAAUAGGUACCGCUCUGGCGGGAAGGUAAACAGCGUUUCCGUGUGCUGCUCUGGUUUGCCAGAAGCGGCUUAGUCAUGCUGGUCACAUGACCCGGAAGCUGUACGCCGGCUCCCUCGGCCAAUAAAGCGAGAUGAGUGCCACAACCCCAGAGUCGGUCACGACUGGACCUAAUGGUCAGGGGUCCCUUUACCUUUACCUUUACGACUGUAUAAGCUUCUGUUCAAAAGUAAGAGCCACAUUGCUCCAACCACUUUUUGUCUCUGGUGCCACACACUUUUCUAUCUCUGGUCCUGCCUGCCACUGGCAUGCAG